AGUCGAGCGGUAAGCACAGAGAGCUUGCUCUCGGGUGACGAGCGGCGGACGGGUGAGUAAUGUCUGGGAAACUGCCUGAUGGAGGGGGAUAACUACUGGAAACGGUAGCUAAUACCGCAUAAUGUCGCAAAACCAAAGUGGGGGACCUUCGGGCCUCAUGCCAUCAGAUGUGCCCAGAUGGGAUUAGCUAGUAGGUGGGGUAACGGCUCACCUAGGCGACGAUCCCUAGCUGGUCUGAGAGGAUGACCAGCCACACUGGAACUGAGACACGGUCCAGACUCCUACGGGAGGCAGCAGUGGGGAAUAUUGCACAAUGGGCGCAAGCCUGAUGCAGCCAUGCCGCGUGUGUGAAGAAGGCCUUCGGGUUGUAAAGCACUUUCAGCGGGGAGGAAGGCGGUGAGGUUAAUAACCUCACCGAUUGACGUUACCCGCAGAAGAAGCACCGGCUAACUCCGUGCCAGCAGCCGCGGUAAUACGGAGGGUGCAAGCGUUAAUCGGAAUUACUGGGCGUAAAGCGCA
rnacentral:rRNA from 1 species